rnacentral:misc_RNA from 1 species
AAUGACAAAAUGUCAUCUUCCUUGUGCUCUUUGCAAGCUAAAGAAAUUAAUUACCCCCUACCGACAACACACAUCAUGUAGGAAAUACUAUUGUUGCACCCUGCAAUUGUUUGAUACAAAUGGUGAAAGUUGUGAACUUUUUAUACAAAAAUUAAUUAAUACAGAUGGUGGUUAGUGUUUGAUACUAAUUACUUGCAAUUAACUUUCAAAUUGCAGGAGCA